GGGCCCGCACAAGCGGUGGAGCAUGUGGUUUAAUUCGAUGCAACGCGAAGAACCUUACCUACUCUUGACAUCUACAGGAUCCUGCGGAGACGCGGGAGUGCCUUCGGGAACUGUAAGACAGGUGCUGCAUGGCUGUCGUCAGCUCGUGUUGUGAAAUGUUGGGUUAAGUCCCGCAACGAGCGCAACCCUUAUCCUUGUUUGCCAGCGAGUAAUGUCGGGAACUCCAGGGAGACUGCCGGUGAUAAACCGGAGGAAGGUGGGGACGACGUCAAGUCAUCAUGGCCCUUACGAGUAGGGCUACACACGUGCUACAAUGGCAAGUACAACGAGUCGCAAUACCGCGAGGUGGAGCAAAUCUCUUAAAGCUUGUCUCAGUUCGGAUAGGAGUCUGCAACUCGACUCCUUGAAGUUGGAGUCGCUAGUAAUCG
rnacentral:rRNA from 1 species